rnacentral:rRNA from 1 species
CCUACGGGGGGCAGCAGUGGGGAAUAUUGCACAAUGGGGGAAACCCUGAUGCAGCGACGCCGCGUGAGUGAAGAAGUAAUUCGGUAUGUAAAGCUCUAUCAGCAGGGAAGAAAAUGACGGUACCUGAGUAAGAAGCCCCGGCUAACUACGUGCCAGCAGCCGCGGUAAUACGUAGGGGGCAAGCGUUAUCCGGAUUUACUGGGUGUAAAGGGAGCGUAGACGGCAGUGCAAGUCUGAAGUGAAAGGCGGGGGCUCAACCCCCGGACUGCUCUGGAAACUGUACGGCUGGAGUGCAGGAGAGGUAAGUGGAAUUCCUAGUGUAGCGGUGAAAUGCGUAGAUAUCAGGAGGAACACCAGUGGCGAAGGCGGCUUACUGGACUGUAACUGACGUUGAGGCUCGAAAGCGUGGGGAGCAAACAGGAUUAGAUACCCCGGUAGUC